rnacentral:lncRNA from 1 species
CUUUGUCCCAAGGUUUAGGAAUGUUGAUGAGGAUGAUGAUGAUGAUAGUCUACCAAUUUCUGAACAUCUAUGCAUCAGGCAAUGUGCUGCACAGUGUAAUGUGCAGCAUCUCAGUCAGUCCUGCAACAGGAGGAAACUGAAGCUUAGAGGAGGUCAUGCAGCUCUAAGUGACUGAACAAGAGAUUAAGGCACAAAAAUAGUUAAAUGACAAAUUAGGACUCAAAGGCUUUAAAAUUUCAGGCAUUUCCCGAUUAUGCCUUGGGCUAGCCCUUCCCUUUGCUGUUUUCCCCAAUUCUAGUAAAAUGCUGAUUUCUACUUAUUUUAAUCACAAAGAACAGAGAAGAAUAUAUUUUACAUUAUGUAGGGUUUAAUGAAUUAACCCCUAGGCAAUAAAAAUAUGUUUUCUCCAGCAUAAGAAACAAAUUUGGGAUUAAAUGCCAAAUGACACCUGCAUUGCAGCAAAAAUCAAUUGCCAAGGGGAAAAAGGUUUGCAAGACAACUAGAGCUAGGCAGUUAAACAUUAGGGUUCAAUGGUUUGAAGUGUUUAGGUUUUGCAAUGGUGUGGUUUGGAAGCUUUCCAGCAGAAAAGCUAUUUUCUUUUAAGAGGAUAACUCUCUGUAAUAUUUUCUUUGCUGAAAUAAUGUGAUCCUUAAUGACGUCUUAUAUGACCCAAACUUUAAAUAGACCCUAUUAUUUUAGCUGAUCUCAUUCUAACCAGGUUUUUACAGGUCAGCCAUGAACUAUCAACAGCUUCCUGAUAAUUAAUCCUACUUACCCAAAAAACUGUUAGCCUGUUAGCCUUAUCUAUGCUAAGAGGAAGCUUUUCUAUGUACCAGACUUCCUCAGUGAAUAAAAAACAAACUGACAUUCUGCAGAAAGGGCCAACAUUGUGAGGUUUAAGAAUGAAGAAACAGAUUAAAGAUUAUGACGCUGCUCUGUCUUCAGCUCCUAACUUGCUGAAAUUCUGUGGUUCAUCUGGCACAGGAAUGGCUUUACAGUGGAGUCAGCAGUACAACUACUCAGGAGACCUCUUCCAUUUCCAUGUACCUGAAGGCAUCUUUACUUUUUUUCUGCCUCCACAAUCACCACUUUAGGUCAGUACCUUUUUGAUCACUAUGCAGAGUAACAAAUUCACUGCACAGU